CAAUAGCGUAUAUUAAAGUUGUUGCAGUUAAAAAGCUCGUAGUUGGAUUUCGGGACAGCCUGGCUGGUCCGCCGCAAGGCGAGUACUGGUCAGCCGCCCUUCCUCUCGAAAGCCCCGACUGCUCUUCGUUGCAGUGGUCGGGUAGUUCGGGACGUUUACUUUGAAAAAAUUAGAGUGUUCAAGGCAGGCCUACGCCUGAAUACAUUAGCAUGGAAUAAUGGAAGAGGACCUCGGUCCUAUUUUGUUGGUUUCCAGGGCCGAAGUAAUGAUUAAGAGGGACAGUUGGGGGCAUUCGUAUUUAAUUGUCAGAGGUGAAAUUCUCGGAUUUAUGAAAGACGAACAACUGCGAAAGCAUUUGCCAAGGAUGUUUUCAUUAA
rnacentral:rRNA from 1 species